GCUGGCGGCAUGCCUUACACAUGCAAGUCGAACGGCAGCACGGAGCUUGCUCUGGUGGCGAGUGGCGAACGGGUGAGUAAUAUAUCGGAACGUACCCUGGAGUGGGGGAUAACGUAGCGAAAGUUACGCUAAUACCGCAUACGAUCUAAGGAUGAAAGUGGGGGAUCGCAAGACCUCAUGCUCGUGGAGCGGCCGAUAUCUGAUUAGCUAGUUGGUAGGGUAAAAGCCUACCAAGGCAUCGAUCAGUAGCUGGUCUGAGAGGACGACCAGCCACACUGGAACUGAGACACGGUCCAGACUCCUACGGGAGGCAGCAGUGGGGAAUUUUGGACAAUGGGCGAAAGCCUGAUCCAGCAAUGCCGCGUGAGUGAAGAAGGCCUUCGGGUUGUAAAGCUCUUUUGUCAGGGAAGAAACGGUGAGAGCUAAUAUCUCUUGCUAAUGACGGUACCUGAAGAAUAAGCACCGGCUAACUACGUGCCAGCAGCCGCGGUAAUACGUAGGGUGCAAGCGUUAAUCGGAAUUACUGGGCGUAAAGCGUGCGCAGGCGGUUUUGUAAGUCUGAUGUGAAAUCCCCGGGCUCAACCUGGGAAUUGCAUUGGAGACUGCAAGGCUAGAAUCUGGCAGAGGGGGGUAGAAUUCCACGUGUAGCAGUGAAAUGCGUAGAUAUGUGGAGGAACACCGAUGGCGAAGGCAGCCCCCUGGGUCAAGAUUGACGCUCAUGCACGAAAGCGUGGGGAGCAAACAGGAUUAGAUACCCUGGUAGUCCACGCCCUAAACGAUGUCUACUAGUUGUCGGGUCUUAAUUGACUUGGUAACGCAGCUAACGCGUGAAGUAGACCGCCUGGGGAGUACGGUCGCAAGAUUAAAACUCAAAGGAAUUGACGGGGACCCGCACAAGC
rnacentral:rRNA from 1 species